AUUGAACGCUGGCGGCAGGCUUAACACAUGCAAGUCGAGCGGGGUGAUGGUGCUUGCACUAUCACUUAGCGGCGGACGGGUGAGUAAUGCUUAGGAAUCUGCCUAUUAGUGGGGGACAACAUCUCGAAAGGGAUGCUAAUACCGCAUACGUCCUACGGGAGAAAGCAGGGGAUCACUCGUGACCUUGCGCUAAUAGAUGUGCCUAAGUCGGAUUAGCUAGUUGGUGGGGUAAAGGCCUACCAAGGCGACGAUCUGUAGCGGGUCUGAGAGGAUGAUCCGCCACACUGGGACUGAGACACGGCCCAGACUCCUACGGGAGGCAGCAGUGGGGAAUAUUGGACAAUGGGGGGAACCCUGAUCCAGCCAUGCCGCGUGUGUGAAGAAGGCCUUAUGGUUGUAAAGCACUUUAAGCGAGGAGGAGGCUCUUUUGGUUAAUACCCAAGAUGAGUGGACGUUACUCGCAGAAUAAGCACCGGCUAACUCUGUGCCAGCAGCCGCAGUAA
rnacentral:rRNA from 1 species